rnacentral:rRNA from 1 species
ACGGAAGGCAGCAGUGGGGGAUAUUGCACAAUGGGGGAAACCCUGAUGCAGCAAUGCCGCGUGAGGGAAGAAGGUCUUCGGAUUGUAAACCUAAGUAGUCAGGGAUGAAGAAAGUGACAUUACCUGAAGAGUAAGCUCCGGCUAACUACGUGCCAGCAGCCGCGGUAAUACGUAGGGAGCGAGCGUUGUCCGGAUUUACUGGGUGUAAAGGGUGCGUAGGCGGGCUUGCAAGUCAGGCGUGAAAUACCGGGGCUUAACUCCGGGGCUGCGCUUGAAACUGUAAGUCUUGAGUGAAGUAGAGGCAGGCGGAAUUCCCAGUGUAGCGGUGAAAUGCGUAGAUAUUGGGAGGAACACCAGUGGCGAAGGCGGCCUGCUGGGCUUUAACUGACGCUGAGGCACGAAAGUAUGGGGAGCAAACAGGAUUAGAUACCCUGGUA